UUUGCUGAGGAUACGGUUAACGGAGCGAAAGCGACGUUCAACCGCAAAAGAAGCAGAGGGGGCUUAGUGGUGGGGUGACUGCGUACCUUUUGUAUAAUGGGUCAGCGACUUAUAUUCUGUAGCAAGGUUAACCGAAUAGGGGAGCCGGAGGGAAACCGAGUCUUAAUUGGGCGUUAAGUUGCAGGGUAUAGACCCGAAACCCGGUGAUCUAGCCAUGGGCAGGUUGAAGGUUGGGUAACACUAACUGGAGGACCGAACCGACUAAUGUUGAAAAAUUAGCGGAUGACCUGUGGCUGGGGGUGAAAGGCCAAUCAAACCGGGAGAUAGCUGGUUCUCCCCGAAAGCUAUUUAGGUAGCGCCUCGUGAAUUCAUCUCCGGGGGUAGAGCACUGUUUCGGCUAGGGGGCCAUCCCGGCUUACCAACCCGAUGCAAACUGCGAAUACCGGAGAAUGUUAUCACGGGAGACACACGGCGGGUGCUAACGUCCGUCGUGAAGAGGGAAACAACCCAGACCGCCAGCUAAGGUCCCAAAGUCAUGGUUAAGUGGGAAACGAUGUGGGAAGGCCCAGACAGCCAGGAUGUUGGCUUAGAAGCAGCCAUCAUUUAAAGAAAGCGUAAUAGCUCACUGGUCGAGUCGGCCUGCGCGGAAGAUGUAACGGGGCUAAACCAUGCACCGAAGCUGCGGCAGCGACACUCAGGUGUUGUUGGGUAGGGGAGCGUUCUGUAAGCCUGCGAAGGUGGCCUGUGAGGGUUGCUGGAGGUAUCAGAAGUGCGAAUGCUGACAUAAGUAACGAUAAAGCGGGUGAAAAGCCCGCUCGCCGGAAGACCAAGGGUUCCUGUCCAACGUUAAUCGGGGCAGGGUGAGUCGACCCCUAAGGCGAGGCCGAAAGGCGUAGUCGAUGGGAAACGGGUUAAUAUUCCCGUACUUGGUGUUACUGCGAAGGGGGGACGGAGAAGGCUAUGUUGGCCGGGCGACGGUUGUCCCGGUUUAAGCGUGUAGGCUGGUUUUCCAGGCAAAUCCGGAAAAUCAAGGCUGAGGCGUGACGACGAGGCACUACGGUGCUGAAGCAACAAAUGCCCUGCUUCCAGGAAAAGCCUCUAAGCAUCAGGUAACACGAAAUCGUACCCCAAACCGACACAGGUGGUCAGGUAGAGAAUACCAAGGCGCUUGAGAGAACUCGGGUGAAGGAACUAGGCAAAAUGGUGCCGUAACUUCGGGAGAAGGCACGCUGACAUGUAGGUGAAGUGAUUUACUCAUGGAGCUGAAGUCAGUCGAAGAUACCAGCUGGCUGCAACUGUUUAUUAAAAACACAGCACUGUGCAAACACGAAAGUGGACGUAUACGGUGUGACGCCUGCCCGGUGCCGGAAGGUUAAUUGAUGGGGUCAGCGCAAGCGAAGCUCCUGAUCGAAGCCCCGGUAAACGGCGGCCGUAACUAUAACGGUCCUAAGGUAGCGAAAUUCCUUGUCGGGUAAGUUCCGACCUGCACGAAUGGCGUAAUGAUGGCCAGGCUGUCUCCACCCGAGACUCAGUGAAAUUGAACUCGCUGUGAAGAUGCAGUGUACCCGCGGCAAGACGGAAAGACCCCGUGAACCUUUACUAUAGCUUGACACUGAACAUUGAGCCUUGAUGUGUAGGAUAGGUGGGAGGCUUUGAAGUGUGGACGCCAGUCUGCAUGGAGCCGACCUUGAAAUACCACCCUUUAAUGUUUGAUGUUCUAACGUGGACCCGUGAUCCGGGUUGCGGACAGUGUCUGGUGGGUAGUUUGACUGGGGCGGUCUCCUCCUAAAGAGUAACGGAGGAGCACGAAGGUUGGCUAAUCCUGGUCGGACAUCAGGAGGUUAGUGCAAUGGCAUAAGCCAGCUUGACUGCGAGCGUGACGGCGCGAGCAGGUGCGAAAGCAGGUCAUAGUGAUCCGGUGGUUCUGAAUGGAAGGGCCAUCGCUCAACGGAUAAAAGGUACUCCGGGGAUAACAGGCUGAUACCGCCCAAGAGUUCAUAUCGACGGCGGUGUUUGGCACCUCGAUGUCGGCUCAUCACAUCCUGGGGCUGAAGUAGGUCCCAAGGGUAUGGCUGUUCGCCAUUUAAAGUGGUACGCGAGCUGGGUUUAGAACGUCGUGAGACAGUUCGGUCCCUAUCUGCCGUGGGCGCUGGAGAACUGAGGGGGGCUGCUCCUAGUACGAGAGGACCGGAGUGGACGCAUCACUGGUGUUCGGGUUGUCAUGCCAAUGGCACUGCCCGGUAGCUAAAUGCGGAAGAGAUAAGUGCUGAAAGCAUCUAAGCACGAAACUUGCCCCGAGAUGAGUUCUCCCUGAGACUUUAGGUCUCCUGAAGGAACGUUGAAGACGACGACGUUGAUAGGCCGGGUGUGUAAGCGCAGCGAUGCGUUGAGCUAACCGGUACUAAUGAACCGUGAGGCUUAACCUUACA
rnacentral:rRNA from 1 species